rnacentral:rRNA from 1 species
UACAGAGGUCUCAAGCGUUGUUCGGAUUCAUUGGGCGUAAAGGGUGCGUAGGCGGCGCGGUAAGUCGGGUGUGAAAUCUCGGAGCUUAACUCCGAAACUGCAUUCGAUACUGCCGUGCUUGAGGACUGGAGAGGAAACUGGAAUUUACGGUGUAGCGGUGAAAUGCGUAGAUAUCGUAAGGAAGACCAGUGGCGAAGGCGGGUCUCUGGGCAGUUCCUGACGCUGAGGCACGAAGGUCAGGGGAGCAAACGGG